AGAGUUUGAUCCUGGCUCAGGAUGAACGCUAGCGGCAGGCCUAAUACAUGCAAGUCGAACGGGAUUGCCUCCUUCGGGAGGCAUGAGAGUGGCGCACGGGUGCGCAACGCGUAUGCAACCAACCCCCGACAGGCGGAUAGCCGGUGGAAACGCCGGAUAAUACGCCAUGGUUCCCUGGGAGGGCAUCCUCCUGAGGAUAAAGCCGAGAGGCGGUCGGGGACGGGCAUGCGUCCCAUUAGAUGGCAGGCGGGGUGACGGCCCACCUGGUCUACGAUGGGUAGGGGAUCUGAGAGGACGGUCCCCCACACUGGUACUGAGACACGGACCAGACUCCUGCGGGAGGCAGCAGUAAGGGAUAUUGGUCAAUGGGGGGAACCCUGAACCAGCCAUGCCGCGUGAGGGAAUGAGGCCCUACGGGUCGUGAACCUCUUUUAUUCGGGGACAAGGACGCGGUCGCGAACCGUGUUUGAGGGUACCGAAGGAAUAAGCAUCGGCUAACUCCGUGCC
rnacentral:rRNA from 1 species